GACGAACGCUGGCGGCGUGCUUAACACAUGCAAGUCGAGCGGUAAGGCCCUUUCGGGGUACGACGAGCGGCGAACGGGUGAGUAACACGUGGGUGGACCUGCCCUCCAGCUCUGGGAGUAAGCCUGGGAAACUGGGUCUAAUACUGGAUAUGACUCCACGGUGCAUGUCGGUGGGGUGGAAAGCCUUGUGCGGCUGAGGAUGGGCCCGCGGCCUAUCAGCUUGUUGGUGGGGUGAGGCCUACCAAGGCGACGACGGGUAGCCGGCCUGAGAGGGCGACCGGCCACACUGGGA
rnacentral:rRNA from 1 species